rnacentral:rRNA from 1 species
UACGGAAGGCAGCAGUGGGGAAUAUUGCACAAUGGGCGCAAGCCUGAUGCAGCCAUGCCGCGUGUAUGAAGAAGGCCUUCGGGUUGUAAAGUACUUUCAGUCGUGAGGAAGGUGUUAAGGUUAAUAACCUUAGCAAUUGACGUUAGCGACAGAAGAAGCACCGGCUAACUCCGUGCCAGCAGCCGCGGUAAUACGGAGGGUGCGAGCGUUAAUCGGAAUUACUGGGCGUAAAGGGCACGCAGGCGGUUAAUUAAGUUGGAUGUGAAAUCCCGGGCUUAACCUGGGAAUGGCAUUCAAGACUGGUUAGCUAGAGUCUUGUAGAGGGGGUAGAAUUCCAUGUGUAGCGGUGAAAUGCGUAGAGAUGUGGAGGAAUACCGGUGGCGAAGGCGGCCCCUGGACAAAGACUGACGCUCAUGUGCGAAAGCGUGGGGAGCGAAACAGGGAUUAGAUACC